rnacentral:misc_RNA from 1 species
AGGGAUCAUUACAGAGUUCUCGCCCCUCCGGGUAGAUCUCCCACCCACUGUGAUUGCUACCGUGUUUCUUUGGCGGGCCGCCGGGCCCAGCCCGUCCGCCGGCUCCGGCUGGCGCGCGCCCGCCAGAGGCUCUGCAAACUCUGAAUGUCAGUGUCGUCUGAGUACUAUACAAUAGUUAAAACUUUCAACAACGGAUCUCUUGGUUCUG